rnacentral:piRNA from 1 species
UCAUUUAAGGAACAGAGAAGCUACU